AUUGAACGCUGGCGGCGUGCUUAACACAUGCAAGUCGAGCGGUAACAGGCGUAGCAAUACGUGCUGACGAGCGGCGAACGGGUGCGUAAUACAUGGGAAUCUGCCCUUUGGUGGGGAAUAACCCGGCGAAAGCCGGGCUAAUGCCGCAUAAGAUCUUCGGAUGAAAGCGGGGGAUCGUAAGACCUCGCGCCGAUGGAUGAGCCCAUGUCGGAUUAGCUAGUUGGUGAGGUAACGGCUCACCAAGGCGACGAUCCGUAGCUGGUCUGAGAGGACGGCCAGCCACACUGGGACUGAGAAACGGCCCAGACUCCUACGGGAGGCAGCAGUGGGGAAUAUUGGACAAUGGGGGAAACCCUGAUCCAGCGACGCCGCGUGUGUGAAGAAGGCCUGCGGGUUGUAAAGCACUUUCGAUGGGAACGAAAUGUGCCGGGCUAAUACCCCGGCAAGCUGACGUUACUCAAUGAAGAAGCACCGGCUAACUCUGUGCCAGCAGCCGCCGUAACAC
rnacentral:rRNA from 1 species